AAGUUAAACAAGUUUAAGAGUCAUAAGAGGCAAGGUUUGAUAGAACUUAGUUGUGGCUAGAGUUUAUGUCCACCCGUAGUUAGCUUAGGGGAAACAAGGCAUCAGUUACACCCACGAAGUUUAUAAUUUCUUCCAGGGAAAAAUAGGGAGUUUACGGUAAUUGAAGACUUGAGGAUUGAGUGGAGGGACCAAGCCAAAUGUCGUCAGAUGCUAGUGUUGGGCACAGUAACUGUUUCAUGUAUGUAGAGGGGCACCCUUAGAGGCCACGCCUCAGGGACUAUGUCAAAACAUUUGUAUCAAGUUUUAAUCUAAAAUUUGUAAAUAAUUGUUAGACUUAAUAAUAUUUCAAUGUUGAAAGAA